UGGAAUGCUUACAAAGUACAAACGAAAUUACAGUUUGAAGUUUAUGCGAAGUUGUGCGAAGUAUGCAUAAUCAGACUAUAAGGGCCAAUCAGCGCGAUCUGUGAUGAAUUUAGGAACCAGUUUGAUUUUGUCAAAAAUGAAGUUUGUAGUUAGCGUAGUUAUUAUGGGGAAGUGAUCGCUGCUGUAUGGACAGUCACUGAUUUCCCAUUCGCUUUUGGGACCUAAUUGAGAGGACGCUAAGCGUUUUCUUUAGUUGACCCCCAGAAGGGGCUCCAUGCAUUUAAGUCACCUAAUAGGAGAAUUUGAUAGUAAGAUUGACCAACGAAUCGAGUGAUAUCUUGCUCCGAGAAGAGUUGGCUUGGUGUGAUUGUAUGUUGGAAUUUCUUGUUCGAACAGUGUGAGGGAUGUGGUGUUUAACUAGAACACCAAUGACGAAAUUUAUUGAAUAAUUCCACAUAAAAUGGUAUACAUAAAUGACUAA